rnacentral:rRNA from 1 species
GAUGAACGCUGGCGGCGUGCCUAAUACAUGCAAGUCGAGCGAACAGACGAGGAGCUUGCUCCUCUGACGUUAGCGGCGGACGGGUGAGUAACACGUGGAUAACCUACCUAUAAGACUGGGAUAACUUCGGGAAACCGGAGCUAAUACCGGAUAAUAUAUUGAACCGCAUGGUUCAAUAGUGAAAGACGGUUUUGCUGUCACUUAUUGAUGGAUCCGCGCCGCAUUAGCUAGUUGGUAAGGUAACGGCUUACCAAGGCAACGAUGCGUAGCCGACCUGAGAGGGUGAUCGGCCACACUGGAACUGAGACACGGUCCAGACUCCUACGGGAGGUAGCAGUAGGGAAUCUUCCGCAAUGGGCGAAAGCCUGACGGAGCAACGCCGCGUGAGUGAUGAAGGUCUUCGGAUCGUAAAACUCUGUUAUUAGGGAAGAACAAAUGUGUAAGUAACUAUGCACGUCUUGACGGUACCUAAUCAGAAAGCCACGGCUAACUACGUG